GACAGCGUGCUAGAGUGGUUAAUAGGUGAGACUUGAAAUCUCAUGGUUUCGGCCUCGCAGGUUCGAAUCCUGUCGCUGUCG
rnacentral:tRNA from 1 species